rnacentral:piRNA from 1 species
AACAGAAGCGUCUGUAGAACUAG